rnacentral:rRNA from 1 species
UACGAAGGGGGCUAGCGUUGCUCGGAAUCACUGGGCGUAAAGGGUGCGUAGGCGGGUCUUAAGUCAGGGGUGAAAUCCUGGAGCUCAACUCCAGAACUGCCUUUGAUACUGAAGAUCUUGAGUUCGGGAGAGGUGAGUGGAACUGCGAGUGUAGAGGUGAAAUUCGUAGAUAUUCGCAAGAACACCAGUGGCGAAGGCAGCUCGCUGGGACGGUACUGACGCUGAGGCGCGAAAGCG